UUGUCAAGAUACCAUGGUAUUCUCUGUGGACUCUGUGUUAUAAUCACAACUGAUAAAGCUGAAAUUCUCUGGUCUUGCCUCUGGGAGGAGAUGGUUGUGGUUUUUUGCACCAGUCUGUCCAUGUUCUGAAUGCUGAAGUAAUUAAAAUCAUCAAGAUUUGUUUUUUCCCUAUGGAUCUUUACAAAGCAACGUAAGACUGAAGCCCCCAGUCCUGCAACAUGUAUAUGAAUGAACCACUGCUGUGGCAGGGGGCCAUGGCACUUUACCAGCUGCAGCCAGAUCAAGGUACAGCAGCCACCAGAAAAUACUGAAUCUGAGAAUGCCUCCUUUCUGGAUGUACAUAUGAGGCCUUUAUACUUUGGAGUGAUAACAGGACAGAAUUUUGCAACCAAAGUCUGGGUAAUCCAAACAGAGCCGAGAUGUGGGGCAGAGGAAGCAAGUGAGACCCCCAGAAACACAGCCCCUGGGCCCACUGGUAGUGGGGAAUCCUUCAGCGUGAUUGUGGGGCUGCUUGUCAGCCCAGGACUCAUUUAUGCCACUAGCAUCACCUUCCAUUCUAGCUCCAGAAGUGGCUUUAUGUUCAUUUUGGUCCUUACCGUUGCAUGGUCUUGUUUCCAAAGCCUGUUCUGGACAGAGAUGUUGAUUCUCUAA
rnacentral:lncRNA from 1 species